rnacentral:rRNA from 1 species
UACAGAGGGGGCAAGCGUUGUUCGGAAUUACUGGGCGUAAAGGGCGCGUAGGCGGCCCUCUAAGUCAGACGUGAAAUCCCCUCGGCCUCAACCGGGGAACUGCGUCUGAGACUGGGAGGCUUGAAUCCGGGAGAGGGAUGCGGAAUUCCAGGUGUAGCGGUGAAAUGCGUAGAUAUCUGGAGGAACACCGGUGGCGAAGGCGGCAUCCUGGACCGGGAUUGACACUGAGGCGCGAAAGCCAGGGGAGCAAACGGG